CUUGCUUCUCUUGAGAGCGGCGGACGGGUGAGUAAUGCCUAGGAAUCUGCCUGGUAGUGGGGGAUAACGUUCGGAAACGGACGCUAAUACCGCAUACGUCCUACGGGAGAAAGCAGGGGACCUUCGGGCCUUGCGCUAUCAGAUGAGCCUAGGUCGGAUUAGCUAGUUGGUGGGGUAAUGGCUCACCAAGGCGACGAUCCGUAACUGGUCUGAGAGGAUGAUCAGUCACACUGGAACUGAGACACGGUCCAGACUCCUACGGGAGGCAGCAGUGGGGAAUAUUGGACAAUGGGCGAAAGCCUGAUCCAGCCAUGCCGCGUGUGUGAAGAAGGUCUUCGGAUUGUAAAGCACUUUAAGUUGGGAGGAAGGGUUGUAGAUUAAUACUCUGCAAUUUUGACGUUACCGACAGAAUAAGCACCGGCUAACUCUGUGCCAGCAGCCGCGGUAAUACAGAGGGUGCAAGCGUUAAUCGGAAUUACUGGGCGUAAAGCGCGCGUAGGUGGUUUGUUAAGUUGGAUGUGAAAUCCCCGGGCUCAACCUGGGAACUGCAUUCAAAACUGACUGACUAGAGUAUGGUAGAGGGUGGUGGAAUUUCCUGUGUAGCGGUGAAAUGCGUAGAUAUAGGAAGGAACACCAGUGGCGAAAGCGACCACCUGGACUAAUACUGACACUGAGGUGCGAAAGCGUGGGGAGCAAACAGGAUUAGAUACCC
rnacentral:rRNA from 1 species